AUGUACAUUCUUAUAUUUUUAAUGCAUCAAGUGCCAUUAAAACUCUACAGUUAAGUGUUCUUGGGCUAGAGUAAUACUAGGAUGUGUGAUCACCUAGGAAGUCCUAGUGUUUUACAUG
rfam:Picea glauca, whole genome shotgun sequence.